rnacentral:rRNA from 1 species
GACAGAGGGUGCAAACGUUGUUCGGAAUUACUGGGCGUAAAGCGCGUGUAGGCUGCCCUGCAAGUCGGAUGUGAAAGCCCUGGGCUCAACCUAGGAAGUGCACUCGAAACUGCAGGGCUGGAGUCCUGGAGAGGAAGGCGGAAUUCUCGGUGUAGAGGUGAAAUUCGUAGAUAUCGAGAGGAACACCGGUGGCGAAGGCGGCCUUCUGGACAGUGACUGACGCUGAGACGCGAAAGCGUGGGGAGCAAACAGGG